rnacentral:lncRNA from 1 species
UUUCAUCAGUUGAAAAUUUUAAGGAUCUUUAAAAAAUUACAUUUGCAGAAUUAAUUAAUGUUUUGUAAGUCGUAGAGUAAAGAAGAGCAAUAAGAGAUGAAAAAACAAUUGAUGGAGUGUUAAUUGUUAAGAUGCCAAACAAGUCUUCAUUAACAUCAAAAAUAAGAAAAUUUUUAUCAUGUGGAGUAUUCAAGAAAAACAAUCAUGAUAAAAAAAAUUGUUGGCAUAGAGAUAAAUCGGAAUGUUUUUGUUGUAAAAAAAUUUGAACAUAUACAAAAACAAAUUGCAGGUUGAAGAAUAAGUAAAUGUUGUUGAAGAAGAAGAAUUUUUUAAAAAAAAAAUUAGAGAGAAGUGUUCUAAGGGAUUUUGAUGAGAAGUGCAUCAAUAAUUGAAAAGAAGUGUUUUAAACUAUGAAGAUUAAAUAAAAAAUAUUGGAAAGAAGUGCUCAAAUAAAAUAAAUUUAGUAAUUAUAAUUUCUACAUUAAGUG